UCGUUAACGAACGAGACCUUAACCUUUAAAUAGCCCGUGCUGCUCCGGCAGCACGCCGGCUUCUAGGGGGACAAUCGGCUCAAGCCGAUGGAAGUUUGAGGCAAUAACAGGUCUGUGAUGCCCUUCGAUGUUCUGGGCCGCACGCGCGCUACACUGACGGAGCCAGCGAGUACUCCCUUGGCUGAAAGGCCUGGGUAAUCUUGUUAAACUCCGUCGUGCUGGGGAUAGAGCAUUGCAAUUAUUGCUCUUCAACGAGGAAUCCCUAGUAAGCGCAAGUCAUCAGCUUGCGUUGAUUACGUCCCUGCCUUUUGUACACACCGCCCGUCGCUAGUACCGAUUGAAUGGAUCC
rnacentral:rRNA from 1 species